GAUCCUGGCUCAGGAUGAACGCUAGCUACAGGCUUAACACAUGCAAGUCGAGGGGCAGCAUGGAAGAAGCUUGCUUCUUCUGAUGGCGACCGGCGCACGGGUGCGUAACGCGUAUCAAACCUGCCUCAUACUCGGGGAUAGCCUUGCGAAAGUAAGAUUAAUACCCGAUGUUGUUAUAUUUCCGCAUGGUGAUAUAACCAAAGAUUUAUCGGUAUGAG
rnacentral:rRNA from 1 species